GGAGGAAAAGAAACCAACAGGGAUUGCCCUAGUAACGGCGAGUGAAGCGGCAACAGCUCAAAUUUGAAAUCUGGCGCAAGCCCGAGUUGUAAUUUGUAGAGGAUGCUUCUAGGUAGCGACCGGUCUAAGUUCCUUGGAACAGGACGUCAUAGAGGGUGAGAAUCCCGUAUGUGACCGGCCCGCACCUUCUACGUAGCUCCUUCGACGAGUCGAGUUGUUUGGGAAUGCAGCUCUAAAUGGGAGGUAAAUUUCUUCUAAAGCUAAAUACCGGCCAGAGACCGAUAGCGCACAAGUAGAGUGAUCGAAAGAUGAAAAGCACUUUGGAAAGAGAGUUAAAAAGCACGUGAAAUUGUUGAAAGGGAAGCGCUUACAACCAGACUUCUGGGCGGUGUUCCGCCGGUCUUUUGACCGGUCUACUCGCCGUCCCGAGGCCAACAUCAUCUGGGACCGCUGGAUAAGACCUUAGGAAUGUAGCUUCCCUCGGGAAGUGUUAUAGCCUCUGGUGAUGCAGCGCGUCUCGGGUGAGGUCCGCGCUUCGGCAAGGAUGUUGGCGUAAUGGUUGUCAGCGGCCCGUCUUGAAACACGGACCAAGGAGUCUAACAUCUAUGCGAGUGUUCGGGUGUCAAACCCCUACGCGUAAUGAAAGUGAACGGAGGUGGGAAGCGUAAGCUGCACCAUCGACCGAUCCUGAUGUCCUCGGAUGGAUUUGAGUAAGAGCAUAGCUGUUGGGACCCGAAAGAUGGUGAACUAUGCCUGAAUAGGGUGAAGCCAGAGGAAACUCUGGUGGAGGCUCGCAGCGGUUCUGACGUGCAAAUCGAUCGUCAAAUUUGGGUAUAGGGGCGAAA
rnacentral:rRNA from 1 species